GGCCCGUUUGGUUUAGUGUCUGACUCUUGGUUUUGGCUCAGGGCGUGAUCUCACGGUUUCACCAGUUCCAGACUGCGUCGGGCUGUGCGCUGGCAGUGCGAGCCUGCUUGCGAUUUUCACUCUUCCUUUCUCUCUGCCCCUCCCCCACUCAUACUAUUGCCUGUGCACUCA